rnacentral:rRNA from 1 species
UGGGGAAUUUUGGACAAUGGGCGAAAGCCUGAUCCAGCAAUGCCGCGUGUGUGAAGAAGGCCUUCGGGUUGUAAAGCACUUUUGUCCGGAAAGAAAUCCUUGGCUCUAAUACAGUCGGGGGAUGACGGUACCGGAAGAAUAAGCACCGGCUAACUACGUGCCAGCAGCCGCGGUAAUACGUAGGGUGCAAGCGUUAAUCGGAAUUACCGGGCGUAAAGCGUGCGCAGGCGGUUUGCUAAGACCGAUGUGAAAUCCCCGGGCUCAACCUGGGAACUGCAUUGGUGACUGGCAGGCUAGAGUAUGGCAGAGGGGGGUAGAAUUCCACGUGUAGCAGUGAAAUGCGUAGAGAUGUGGAGGAAUACCGAUGGCGAAGGCAGCCCCCUGGGCCAAUACUGACGCUCAUGCACGAAAGCGUGGGGAGCAAACAGGAUUAGAUACCCUGGUAGUCCACGCCCUAAACGAUGUCAACUAGUUGUUGGGGAUUCAUUUCCUUAGUAACGUAGCUAACGCGUGAAGUUGACCGCCUGGGGAGUACGGUCGCAAGAUUAAAACUUAAAGGAAUUGACGGGGUCAUAGCUGUUUCCU